AUGGCCUUGGUGCAGAAGUAUGGGAAACCAGAUAUCUUUUUAACCAUGACUUGCAACCCGAAUUGGGAUGAGAUAAUUGGUGCGUUGGAGCCUAGACAAACCCCACAUGAUCGCCCUGAUCUUGUUGUACGAGUAUUUAGAGCGAAGUUGGAAGACCUCAAGAUACAACUUUUCAAAAAGCACAUGCUCGGCAAGGUAGCAGCAUAUGCAUAUGUUUUCGAGUUCCAGAAAAGGGGUCUA
rnacentral:rRNA from 1 species